AGAGUUUGAUCCUGGCUCAGGAUGAACGCUAGCGGCAGGCCUAAUACAUGCAAGUCGAGCGGCAAGUUGAGUAGUAAUACUUAGCCUAGAGCGGCGCACGGGUGCGUAACGCGUAUGCAACCUACCUUUUACUGGGGGAUAGCCCGGAGAAAUCUGGAUUAAUACCCCAUGGUAUCUAUGAAUCGAUUGGUUUAUAGUUUAAAGAUUUAUCGGUAAGAGAUGGGCAUGCGUCUGAUUAGCUAGUUGGCGGGGUAACGGCCCACCAAGGCGACGAUCAGUAGGGGUUCUGAGAGGAAGGUCCCCCACACUGGCACUGAGAUACGGGCCAGACUCCUACGGGAGGCAGCAGUAGGGAAUAUUGGGCAAUGGUCGCAAGACUGACCCAGCCAUGCCGCGUGCAGGAAGACGGCCCUCUGGGUUGUAAACUGCUUUUAUCUGGGAAGAAAAAGUCCAUGCGUGGAAAAUUGCCGGUACCAGAUGAAUAAGCACCGGCUAACUCCGUGCCAGCAGCCGCGGUAAUACGGAGGGUGCAAGCGUUGUCCGGAUUUAUUGGGUUUAAAGGGUGCGUAGGCGGCUGAAUAAGUCAGCGGUGAAAGACUUCGGCUUAACCGGAGCAGUGCCGUUGAUACUGUUUAGCUUGAGUGUUGGAGGGGUACAUGGAAUUGAUG
rnacentral:rRNA from 1 species